AGCUGGUCUGAUGGUAGUGGGUUAUCAGAAUGUAUUAACAUUAGUGUCAGAAAAGUUGGCAUACAACCCCCAACUUUUGCUAAAUUCAACUGGCUAGAA
rnacentral:Y_RNA from 1 species